rnacentral:rRNA from 1 species
AGUGAACGCUGGCGGUAGGCCUAACACAUGCAAGUCGAACGGCAGCACAGUAAGAGCUUGCUCUUACGGGUGGCGAGUGGCGGACGGGUGAGGAAUACAUCGGAAUCUACUUUUUCGUGGGGGAUAACGUAGGGAAACUUACGCUAAUACCGCAUACGACCUACGGGUGAAAGCAGGGGAUCUUCGGACCUUGCGCGAUUGAAUGAGCCGAUGUCGGAUUAGCUAGUUGGCGGGGUAAAGGCCCACCAAGGCGACGAUCCGUAGCUGGUCUGAGAGGAUGAUCGCCCAAAUUGGAACGGAGACACGGGCCAGACUCCUAGGGGGGGGAGCAGGGGGGAAUAUUGGAAAAGGGGGGCAAGCCUGACCCAGCCAUACCGCGUGGGUGAAGAAGGCCUUGGGGUUGUAAAGCCUUUUUGUUGGGAAAAAAAAGCAGCAGGUUAAAACCCCGCUGUUCUGACGGUACCAAAAGAAUAAACCCCGGCUAACUUCGU